rnacentral:rRNA from 1 species
CAGCCGCCGCGGGAAUACGAAGGGGGCUAGCGUUGUUCGGAAUUACUGGGCGUAAAGCGCACGUAGGCGGAUACUUAAGUUAGGGGUGAAAUCCCAGGGCUCAACCCUGGAACUGCCUUUAAUACUGGGUAUCUUGAGUUCGAGAGAGGUAAGUGGAAUUCCGAGUGUAGAGGUGAAAUUCGUAGAUAUUCGGAGGAACACCAGUGGCGAAGGCGGCUUACUGGCUCGAUACUGACGCUGAGGUGCGAAAGCGUGGGGAGCAAACAGGAUUAGAUACCCCAGUAGUCCCUGUCUCUUAUAC